UAAAGCGGGUGAAAAGCCCGCUCGCCGGAAGACCAAGGGUUCCUGUCCAACGUUAAUCGGGGCAGGGUGAGUCGACCCCUAAGGCGAGGCCGAAAGGCGUAGUCGAUGGGAAACAGGUUAAUAUUCCUGUACUUGGUGUUACUGCGAAGGGGGGACGGAGAAGGCUAUGUUGGCCGGGCGACGGUUGUCCCGGUUUAAGCGUGUAGGCUGGUUUUCCAGGCAAAUCCGGAAAACCAAGGCUGAGGCGUGAUGACGAGGCACUACGGUGCUGAAGCGACAAAUGCCCUGCUUCCAGGAAAAGCCUCUAAGCAUCAGGUAACAUCAAAUCGUACCCCAAACCGACACAGGUGGUCAGGUAGAGAAUACCAAGGCGCUUGAGAGAACUCGGGUGAAGGAACUAGGCAAAAUGGUGCCGUAACUUCGGGAGAAGGCACGCUGAUAUGUAGGUGAAGCGACUUGCUCGUGGAGCUGAAAUCAGUCGAAGAUACCAGCUGGCUGCAACUGUUUAUUAAAAACACAGCACUGUGCAAACACGAAAGUGGACGUAUACGGUGUGACGCCUGCCCGGUGCCGGAAGGUUAAUUGAUGGGGUUAGCGGUAACGCGAAGCUCUUGAUCGAAGCCCCGGUAAACGGCGGCCGUAACUAUAACGGUCCUAAGGUAGCGAAAUUCCUUGUCGGGUAAGUUCCGACCUGCACGAAUGGCGUAAUGAUGGCCAGGCUGUCUCCACCCGAGACUCAGUGAAAUUGAACUCGCUGUGAAGAUGCAGUGUACCCGCGGCAAGACGGAAAGACCCCGUGAACCUUUACUAUAGCUUGACACUGAACAUUGAGCCUUGAUGUGUAGGAUAGGUGGGAGGCUUUGAAGUGUGGACGCCAGUCUGCAUGGAGCCGACCUUGAAAUACCACCCUUUAAUGUUUGAUGUUCUAACGUUGGCCCGUAAUCCGGGUUGCGGACAGUGUCUGGUGGGUAGUUUGACUGGGGCGGUCUCCUCCUAAAGAGUAACGGAGGAGCACGAAGGUUGGCUAAUCCUGGUCGGACAUCAGGAGGUUAGUGCAAUGGCAUAAGCCAGCUUGACUGCGAGCGUGACGGCGCGAGCAGGUGCGAAAGCAGGUCAUAGUGAUCCGGUGGUUCUGAAUGGAAGGGCCAUCGCUCAACGGAUAAAAGGUACUCCGGGGAUAACAGGCUGAUACCGCCCAAGAGUUCAUAUCGACGGCGGUGUUUGGCACCUCGAUGUCGGCUCAUCACAUCCUGGGGCUGAAGUAGGUCCCAAGGGUAUGGCUGUUCGCCAUUUAAAGUGGUACGCGAGCUGGGUUUAGAACGUCGUGAGACAGUUCGGUCCCUAUCUGCCGUGGGCGCUGGAGAACUGAGGGGGGCUGCUCCUAGUACGAGAGGACCGGAGUGGACGCAUCACUGGUGUUCGGGUUGUCAUGCCAAUGGCACUGCCCGGUAGCUAAAUGCGGAAGAGAUAAGUGCUGAAAGCAUCUAAGCACGAAACUUGCCCCGAGAUGAGUUCUCCCUGACUCCUUGAGAGUCCUGAAGGAACGUUGAAGACGACGACGUUGAUAGGCCGGGUGUGUAAGCGCAGCGAUGCGUUGAGCUAACCGGUACUAAUGAACCGUGAGGCUUAACCUUACAACGCCGAAG
rnacentral:rRNA from 1 species